rnacentral:lncRNA from 1 species
ACUCAUGGAGCAAUACUGCCAUCAAGCGGAAUUGAUUUCCUGUUUCUAAGAACAAUCCUUAGGAUCCCAGGCAUCAGUUCCCUUGAGAGCUCAAAGCAGCCAUAACUUUCAGCCCUCAAAAUCUUCCUAGUAAGGUUCUCCAGGUAUGUUUUUUCUUAACUGUUCUGCAAACAUGGGGCAGUGAGUUCAAUUCCAGGGCAUCUCCAGUCUGCAAGUCUACGUGCCAGCUGCGGAGAGGUGGACCAGGAGGAAGCACAGCUCAGAAAAAGGAUAGAGCCAGCAGCACAGCUCCCGUGGCAAAGAAGUACCAGAUUGGCUAUGCUCUUGGCAAACCUUCCCCGAAAAGGGACUUCUGGCAAGCAGAAAGGAUUCUAGUUUCCCCUACCAUUCCCUGACCGAGAUCCAAAGAUCACAGCAAAUGGAUUCGCUUUUUCCCUUUCGCUUUCUCUGCCAGGGCGGAGGGAGAGAACCUGGGGUAAGGAUAUAUUGGCAUUCUUGAUACUACACUGCCAUCCAGCGGAAUACCUUUGCUGUUCCUGUCUACACUUCCAAG